rnacentral:rRNA from 1 species
GAUGAACGCUGGCGGCGUGCCUAAUACAUGCAAGUCGAGCGAACAGACGAGGAGCUUGCUCCUCUGACGUUAGCGGCGGACGGGUGAGUAACACGUGGAUAACCUACCUAUAAGACUGGGAUAACUUCGGGAAACCGGAGCUAAUACCGGAUAAUAUAUUGAACCGCAUGGUUGAAUAGUGAAAGACGGUUUUGUUGUUACUUUAAUAGGGUUCCGCGCCGCUUUAGCUAGUUGGUAAGGUAAGGGCUUACCAAGGCGGUGAGGCGUAGCCGACCUGAGCGAGUGAUCGGCCACACUGGAACUGAGACACGGUCCAGACUCCUACGGGGAGACGCAGUAGGGAAUCUUCCGCGAUGGGCGAGAGCCUGACGGAGCAACGCCGCGUAAGUGAUGAAGGUCUUCGGAUCGUAAAACUCUGUUAUUAGGGAAGAACAAAUGUGUAAGUAACUAUGCACAUCUUGACGGUACCUAAUCAGAAAGCCACGGCUAACUCCGUG